GGCUCUGUAGUUCAAUGGAUAGAAUGGGAGUUUCCGGAACUCUUGAUAUAGGUUCGAUUCCUAUCAGAGCUACCA
rnacentral:tRNA from 1 species